AGCACGGUGGAAUGCAGCCUCCAGGUUUUAGUCGGGCUUCCUCACAGCAAUGUCCUGUUGGUGUCAGCUGGGACUCUAGUGCUGUGAGCUUCCUCUUGGCAGUGCCCUGUCAUUGCCCAGCCAUGACUCCAGUGCUGUGAUCUUCCACUCAGCAGUGCCGCAUCAGCACCAGCUGUGACUCCUGAGGCAAAUGCCAUCCAUGAAUGAGUCAGCUGUCCACAAUGGCACAAAGCCCACCUUUGAUGCAUAACCUGGAUGUCAAGAAGCAGCUCUGGCACUUGCACGUUGGGUUAAGUGAAGUGCUGGGAUCAAACAGCCCUGGCUGCAUCACUCACUCCCCAGCUGCUGGUCUUUGGCUGCGGAUGCUUCUCUGUCUCGCCCCCCUCCACCCCCCGGGCUACUUCCCCUCUUUAGACAUGGAUUGGGGCCAUUAACUUUUUCACUCCGUGCUGGUGUGAGCACCAUAGACUUCUUGCUGGACACUUUAUCAACACAAAGCAUUUGCCAAGAUUUACAGGGCUCUUCCUGGACUGUGUAAGGUAAAAAAUAUCCUUUUCAAAGCAAUAAAAUAUAAAACGGGA